UAGGGAAUCUUCCGCAAUGGGCGAAAGCCUGACGGAGCAACGCCGCGUGAGUGAUGAAGGUCUUCGGAUCGUAAAACUCUGUUAUUAGGGAAGAACAAAUGUGUAAGUAACUAUGCACGUCUUGACGGUACCUAAUCAGAAAGCCACGGCUAACUACGUGCCAGCAGCCGCGGUAAUACGUAGGUGGCAAGCGUUAUCCGGAAUUAUUGGGCGUAAAGCGCGCGUAGGCGGUUUUUUAAGUCUGAUGUGAAAGCCCACGGCUCAACCGUGGAAGGUCAUUGGAAACUGGAAGACUUGAGUGCAGAAGAGGAAAGUGGAAUUCCAUGUGUAGCGGUGAAAUGCGCAGAGAUAUGGAGGAACACCAGUGGCGAAGGCGACUUUCUGGUCUGUAACUGACGCUGAUGUGCGAAAGCGUGGGGAUCAAACAGG
rnacentral:rRNA from 1 species